rnacentral:rRNA from 1 species
AGGACGAACGCUGGCGGCGUGCCUAAUACAUGCAAGUCGAACGCUUUUUCUUUCACCGGAGCUUGCUCCAUCGAAAGAAAAAGAGUGGCGAACGGGUGAGUAACACGUGGGUAACCUGCCCAUCAGAAGGGGAUAACACUUGGAAACAGGUGCUAAUACCGUAUAACACUAUUUUCCGCAUGGAAGAAAGUUGAAAGGCGCUUUUGCGUCACUGAUGGAUGGACCCGCGGUGCAUUAGCUAGUUGGUGAGGUAACGGCUCACCAAGGCAACGAUGCAUAGCCGACCUGAGAGGGUGAUCGGCCACACUGGGACUGAGACACGGCCCAGACUCCUACGGGAGGCAGCAGUAGGGAAUCUUCGGCAAUGGACGAAAGUCUGACCGAGCAACGCCGCGUGAGUGAAGAAGGUUUUCGGAUCGUAAAACUCUGUUGUUAGAGAAGAACAAGGAUGAGAGUAAAAUGUUCAUCCCUUGACGGUAUCUAACCAGAAAGCCACGGCUAACUACGUGCCAGCAGCCGCGGUAAUACGUAGGUGGCAAGCGUUGUCCGGAUUUAUUGGGCGUAAAGCGAGCGCAGGCGGUUUCUUAAGUCUGAUGUGAAAGCCCCCGGCUCAACCGGGGAGGGUCAUUGGAAACUGGGAGACUUGAGUGCAGAAGAGGAGAGUGGAAUUCCAUGUGUAGCGGUGAAAUGCGUAGAUAUAUGGAGGAACACCAGUGGCGAAGGCGGCUCUCUGGUC